AUUGAACGCUGGCGGAAUGCUUUACACAUGCAAGUCGAGCGGCAGCGCGGGGCAACCUGGCGGCGAGCGGCGAACGGGUGAGUAAUGCAUCGGAACAUGUCCAUUCGUGGGGGAUAGCCCGGCGAAAGCCGGAUUAAUACCGCAUACGCCCCGAGGGGGAAAGCGGGGACCUCGCGAGAGGCCUCGCGCGAAUGGGUUGGCCGAUGUCCGAUUAGCUAGUUGGUGAGGAAAGGCUCACCAAGGCGAUGAUCGGUAGCUGGUCUGAGAGGAUGAUCAGCCACACUGGGACUGAGACACGGCCCAGACUCCUACGGGAGGCAGCAGGUGGGGAAUUUUGGACAAGUGGGGAAACCCGUGAUCCAGCCAUUCCGCGUGAGU
rnacentral:rRNA from 1 species